GGACCGUUGGCAGAAUUGGCAUUGCGUCUGACUACGAGCGGAAGUACUCAGUUGACAUCAGGAGAUUCUGGGUUCGAUCCCCAGGCGGUCCU